rnacentral:rRNA from 1 species
GACGAACGCUGGCGGCGUGCUUAACACAUGCAAGUCGAGCGAUGAAACUUUAACAGAACCCUUCGGGGCGUAGAUACAGUGGAUUAGCGGCGGACGGGUGAGUAACACGUGAGUAACCUGCCUUAGACAUUGGGCUAGCCCCGGGAAACCGGGAUUAAUACCAAAUAAAAUCAUAAUGACACAUGUCAUUACGAUCAAAACUCCGGUGAGCUAAGAGGGAAUCGCGUCCCAUUAGCUAGUUGGUAGCGUAAAAGCCUACCAAUGCGAGGAUGGGCAGCCUGCCUGUGAGGGAGAACCGCGACAUUGGAACGAGGCAGCGGUAGGAACUCCUACGGGAGGCAGCAGUGCCGGAUGUUGCACCGUGGAGGGAGCUCUGAUGGAGCGAGGCCGGGUAAACGAUGAUGGCUUUCGAGUCGUAAAGUUCUUUUAUAUGGGAAGAUAAUGACGGUACCAUAAGAGAAAGCCCCGGCUAACUACGUG